rnacentral:rRNA from 1 species
UACCAGCACCCCGAGUGGUCGGGACGAUUAUUGGGCCUAAAGCAUCCGUAGCCGGUUUUACAAGUCCUCCGUUAAAUCCAACUGCUUAACAGGUGGGCUGCGGAAGAUACUAUAGAGCUAGGAGGCGGGAGAGGCAAGCGGUACUCGAUGGGUAGGGGUAAAAUCCGUUGAUCCAUUGAAGACCACCAGUGGCGAAGGCGGCUUGCCAGAACGCGCUCGACGGUGAGGGAUGAAAGCUGGGGGAGCAAACCGG